rnacentral:misc_RNA from 1 species
AACAUCGCGCACCUGCGGGAACCUGCGGAAGGAUCAUUACCGAGUGCGGGUCCGCGUGGCCCAACCUCCCACCCGUGCCUAUUGUACCCUGUUGCUUCGGCGGGCCCGCCAGCCUUCGGGCUGGCCGCCGGGGGGCGUCUCGCCCCCGGGCCCGUGCCCGCCGGAGACCCCAACAUGAACCCUGUUCUGAAAGCUUGGUGUCUGCGUGUGAUUGUUUGCAAUCAGUUAAAACUUUCAGCA